rnacentral:rRNA from 1 species
UACGUAGGGUGCGAGCGUUAAUCGGAAUUACUGGGCGUAAAGCGUACGCAGGCGGCUUUGCAAGACAGGUGUGAAAUCCCCGGGCCUAACCUGGGAACUGCAUUUGUGACUGCAUGGCUAGAGUUUGUCAGAGGGGGGUGGAAUUCCACGUGUAGCAGUGAAAUGCGUAGAGAUGUGGAAGAACACCGAUGGCGAAGGCAGCCCCCUGGGAUGUGACUGACGCUCAUGUACGAAAGCGUGGGGAGCAAACAGG